rnacentral:rRNA from 1 species
AGUGAACGCUGGCGGUAGGCCUAACACAUGCAAGUCGAACGGCAGCACAGUAAGAGCUUGCUCUUACGGGUGGCGAGUGGCGGACGGGUGAGGAAUACAUCGGAAUCUACUUUUUCGUGGGGGAUAACGUAGGGAAACUUACGCUAAUACCGCAUACGACCUACGGGUGAAAGCAGGGGAUCUUCGGACCUUGCGCGAUUGAAUGAGCCGAUGUCGGAUUAGCUAGUUGGCGGGGUAAAGGCCCACCAAGGCGACGAUCCGUAGCUGGUCUGAGAGGAUGAUCAGCCACACUGGAACUGAGACACGGUCCAGACUCCGACGGGAGGCAGAAGUGGGGAAUAUUGGACAAUGGGCGCAAGCCUGAUCCAGCUAUACCGCGGGGGUGAAGAAGGCCUUCGGGUUGUAAAGCCCUUUUGUUGGGAAAGAAAAGCAGCAGGUUAAUACCCCGCUGUUCGGACGGGACCCAAAGAAUAAGCACCGGCGAACUUCGG